GUUGUGUUUUGCUUUCAGAGUGUAGGCAGACUACUUUUAAUGCAAUCAGACUCCAAAUUAAGAUAUGUAAUAUAUUGAUGCGAGCUGGGAAACUCCACUGGUGCUUCCUCUUUUUGAUUGGUUGUCAAGCGAGGAGGUUAAGUUAGCUGAGGCUUCAAAGCUUCGGAAGACAUUGGGUUCCACGAGAUCGGAGCUGAAAGCUUCUAAAUCAACAACCUUGACUGAGU